AGAGCUCUAUCGGAUAACGCACCUCUCUGCCUCAGGAGAUGGAAGUCGAGGAACAAAUUACACCGCGUUCUUGCAACUGUCUUCAUAGACAGAAAGGAAAUAUGGAGAAAACUAUUCACAGAUGGCAAUGCUGGAGAUCUGAUAGCCUUAGUCAAACAGGUCUCAACUAUCUUUUGAUUGAAUAUUGAAAUUUGACAGAUUUUCAAGUUCAUUGACACUGAUGUAAAUGCAGGAGUAAAGGAGCUAGGCAAAUUUCAAAUAUAUUAUAUUGCAAGCAACACCCCGGACUCAUUAGAAAGAAGUGUGCAGUGUCCUUUAACAGACUCAACUCAGACUGGCAACACAACUAGUUUGCUGACGCUGCUUGAAGAAAAGCCUCUUCAAUCCUGAG
ensembl:processed_transcript